rnacentral:lncRNA from 13 species
CCUCCCUGAGAAAGCCCUGAGGACUUCAUGCAAUGCUGAGUUUGAGGUGUUGCUUUCAGCCAUUAAGGGCAGAAGAGGAAGAGCCUUUGGGUGCUACUGCCAUGAACCAGGUCCCAGAGGAGACUCUCCCCACGCGGCCUCCCCUUCCCUGCGAUGCUGUCACCUCGGCCCGGAAGUGAACCACACAGCCAGGCCAAUGACCCCGGAAGUAGAAACUGCGCAGCC